UACGUAGGGGGCAAGCGUUGUCCGGAUUUAUUGGGCGUAAAGAGCGUGUAGGCGGUUUGGUAGGUCCGUUGUGAAAACUCGAGGCUCAACCUCGAGACGCCGAUGGAAACCAUCAGACUAGAGUCCGGAAGAGGAGAGUGGAAUUCCUGGUGUAGCGGUGAAAUGCGCAGAUAUCAGGAAGAACACCCGUGGCUAAGGCGGCUCUCUAGUACGGUACUGACGCUGAGACGGCGAAAAGCGUGGGGAGCGAAC
rnacentral:rRNA from 1 species